GUUUUCAUUUUGAAUAUACAUGUAUGAAAUAUCUGCGACGGGUAGUUAUACCAAAUACUCCGAUCUUUUCUAAAUUUUGUUUAAAUGUAUACAUAAGCGAGUCCUUCUUUUUAACCUCAUUGCGGUCUAAAAAAUUCUGAAGAUUAAAUAAAAUGAAGCGCUUUUCUGGAUUAACCUAGAUAAGGGACACUAAAGGCAGAACAUUUUAAAGCCACGGAUGUAUAAGAACUAAAAUAGUUGAAGAGCCAUAGUAUGCAUUAUGCUUAUUGUUUAAAUCCGUGUUACCCCAAGGGUGACUGGGGAAACGAAAUAUGGUCGCUUGGUCUUCUCCCGACCGGCAGUAAAACAUUUGCCGAAGAGGAGCGUCCGUUUGGCUGUGCAGGAUUUAUUAAGCUCGCAGUCACGUCCGGUCAGAAUGGGAACGUUAAAUCCGAUGCCUCGUUUAAAGAGAGUGCCAAACUGUAUGCCCGUUAAAAACCAUUGCAACAACUAUAAUUUAAGGGUUGAGUAUGUGGACUGUUGCACGCGGCAAAAUUUAUGUCCCUAUCCAAUAUACCCUCAUUUUCUAGUGGCACUCCAAAUCUCCCAGACCAUCAUCCCGGAUGGCCUCUGUUAUGAACAAAACUUCCUAUUGUAUUUAUUAUUAACUUGUUCUCGUCCUGAACAUGCAUGACAUAUUUGCCACUGGACGUUAAGCAACCAACAAUCAAUCAAUCAAUUUAAAUCCUUAAAUGUGGAUUUUUAACAAAUAAUGCAUGGAACAAACAAAUAUUUUUU
rnacentral:lncRNA from 1 species